GUUCAUCAAAAGAAAUCUGCAAGGGCCGGGUCAAGGGUCGGGUCUUGGAGCGGUUUUUCCGAUACCUAUGCAGGAUGUCUGAAAACGUAGCUAUAAAAACCCAAACGGUGAUCAGCCAUUGGCACCGCUUGAGUCAUGAGUAAUCCCUCCGAUAGACUUCUCGAAACACCCAUCUUUUGUUAAGGUUUUGGUGUCAUGGCUUCGUUGUCUCGAAAUACCGAGAUUUGCCUCUAUUCUUCCCUCUCUGUUGUGCUUCCCUUUCAAUAGCCGCCGCCCCACUUCACCGGAGAACCGACAAACACCCCCUUCAACAACCGCAAGCAUCCCCGACGACACAACCACCGCAAAACCCAGUUUGCAAGAGGUGAUCCCCUACAGUGUCAAGGUGAAUGCUCCUAAUGGUGUUGAUGUUAAUGUCUCACCAAAGCAAGCUUGUGUUCAGUGCUAAGAACAAGACACAGGCUUUUGAGGUCACUCUCACUACAGUUGGGUAUGGUGGUUCUCAGAGUUUUGGGUCCAUUGAGUGGAGUGAUGGAAGUUACCGUGUGAAGAGCCCAAUUGCUGUGAGAUUUGGCAGUGGAUCCUCAUCAUCAUCCAUGUGAAUUGCACUCAAGAAUCAAGAUUGUUGCUGUGGAAACACGUCUUACACAGGUUAUGGGUUCAA